rnacentral:misc_RNA from 1 species
GAUGAAGAACGCGGCGAAAUGCGAUAAGUAAUGUGAAUUGCAGAAUUCAGUGAAUCAUCGAAUCUUUGAACGCAUCUUGCGCUCCUUGGUAUUCUGAGGAGCAUGCCUGUUUGAGUGUCAUUAAAUUCUCAACUACACUGACUUUGAAUUGGUGUGGCUUGGAUUUGGGGGGAAAAUUGUUGUGGGCUUUUUGUAUAGUCUGCUCCCCUGAAAUUGAUUAGCGGUACCUUUGUGGAACUGUCUACAGGUGUGAUAAUUAUCUACAUCUUAGACAUCUGCUGGAAUGCUGCUUUCUAAACCUUACUUGUAUUGACAAUCUUGACCUCAAAUCAGGUAGGACUACCCGCUGAACUUAAGCAUAUCAAUAAGCGGAGG